rnacentral:rRNA from 1 species
AGAGUUUGAUCCUGGCUCAGGAUGAACGCCAGCGGGACGCCUAACACAUGCAAGUCGAACGGGUUUUAUGUUGUAGCAAUACGAUAUAAAACUAGUGGCAAACGAGCGAGUAACGCGUACCUAACCUGCCCCGAAGAUGGGAACAACUAUAGAGAUAUAGCUAAUUCCCAAUACUCUCCACAAAAUGAAAAUAUGUGGAGCAAAGAUUUAUCGCUUUGGGAGGGGGGUGCGUCCUAUCAUGGUAGUUGGUGAGGUAAUGGCUCACCAAGCCUUUGACGGGUAGCCGGCCUAAGAUGGUGUCCGGCCGCGAUGGAACUGAGAUACGGUCCAUACUCCUACGGGAGGCAGCAGUGGGGAAUCUUGCACAAUGGACGAAAGUCUGAUGCAGCGAUCCCGCGUGGAGGAUGAAGCCCUAUGGGGUGUAAACUCCUUUUCUGGUGGAAGAAGAAUGACGGUACACCAGGAAUAAGAGACGGCUAACUACGUGCCAGCAGCCGCGGUAAUACGUAGGUCUCAAGCGUUAUCCGGAUUUACUGGGCGUAAAGUGUCCGUAGCCUGAUAUAUAAGUCUGUUUUCAAAUGCUCUGACUCAAUCAGAGAAAGGGGAUAGAUACUGUAUGUCUAGAAAUUGUUAGAGGUUAGUGGAAUUUCCGGUGGAGCGGUGAAAUGUGUUGAUAUCGGAAAGAAUGCCGAAAGCGAAAGCAGCUAACUAUGAUAAAUUUGACGGUGAUGGACGAAAGCUUGGGUAGCAAACGGGAUUAGGUACCCCGGUAGUCCAAGCUGUAAAUUAUGUUUGCUAGGUGUCUCCUCUUCGGAGGGGGUGCCGUAACCUAACGGGUUAAGCAAAUCGCCUGAGUAGUAUAUUCGCAAGAAUGAAACUCAAAGGGAUAGGCGGGGGAACACACAAGCAGUGGAUUAUCUAGAUUAAUUGGAUACAAAGCCAAGAAUCUUACCCGGACUUGACAUGCAUUAUGUCUACGGUGAAAGCCGUAUAGUUAUAGCAAUAUAACGUCUUGCACAGGUGGUGCAUGGUCGUCGUCAGCUCGUGCCGCAAGGUGUCUAGUUAAGUCUAGGAACGAGCGCAACCCUCAUUAUUAGUUAGAAUGUCUAAUAAGACUGCCUGGGCAACCAGGAGGAAGGAGAGGAUGACGUCAGAUCCUCAUGCCCCUUACGUCCGGGGCUUCAUAGAUAAUACAAUGGGUAGCAACAACGAGAAGCAAUAUCGUGAGAUGGAGCAAAUCUUCAAACCUACCCCUAGUUCGGAUUGUACUCUGGAACUUGAGUACAUGAAGUUGGAAUUGCUAGUAAUGGCGAAUCAGCCAUGUCGCCGUGAAUAUGUCCCUGUUCCUUGCACUCA